rfam:Myotis lucifugus cont2.36260, whole genome shotgun sequence.
CUUGCACCAGUAGGGUCCCUCAGCCUGGCCUGCAGAAUUGGGUUGAAACUGGCUCUCCGACAUCCCCCAAGGGGUUGCAAGAGGGCGCAGGCCAGGCUGAGGGACCCCACUGGUGCACA